rnacentral:rRNA from 1 species
GUAGUGAUAUGCUUGUUUCAAAGAUUAAGCCAUGCAUGUCUAAGUAUAAGCGAACUUAUACAGUGAAACUGCGGAUGGCUCAUUAAAACAGUUUGAAUUUAUUUGAUGAAUGUAUGAGAAUACUACUUGGAUAACCGUAGUAAUUCUAGAGCUAAUACAUGCAACGACGCCCGACCGUUUCACUACGGAAGGGCUGUAUUUAUUGGAUACCAAAACCAUCCUUCCCUCGGGAAGUUUUGUUUGAUGAUUCACAAUAACUGAUCGGAUCGCCACUGUGGUGGCGACAGGUCAUUCAACAUUCUGCCCUAUCAGCUUUCGAUGGUUGUGUAGUGGACAACCAUGGCCAUAACGGGUAACGGAGAAUCAGGGUUCGAUUCCGGAGAAGGAGCUUGAGAAUUGGCUACUACAUCUAAGGAAGGCAGCAGGCGCGCAAAUUACCCAAUCCCGAUUCGGGGAGGUAGUGACAAAAAAUAACAAUACCGGGCCUUUUUGGGCUUGGUAAUUGGAAUGAGGGAGAGUUAAACGGACCAUCGAGUAUCCAUUGGAGGGCAAGUCUGGUGCCAGCAGCUGCGGUAAUACCAGCUCCAAUAGCGUAUAUUAAAGUUGUUGCAGUUAAAAAGCUCGUAGUUGGACUUGUGUGCGCUGUCCGCGGGUGGCCUGCGCCCAAAAGGGCGUUUCGGUUCGGCCCCGGUGGCGCCUUGAAAUCUGCAGCUGGGGGGACGUUGGCCUUAACUGGUCGGCGACCGCACGCCGGCUGCUCGGUUACUGUGAGAAAAUUAGAGUGUUCAAGGCAGGCAUUGGGUGCAAUUGAAUACAUUAGCAUGGAAUAAUAAAAUAUGGCUCCUGCCGUAUUUUGUUGGUUUUGACUGGUGGGAGUAAUGAUUGAUAGGGACGGUUGGGGGUGCUAGUAUUGAGCGGCCAGAGGUGAAAUUCAUGGAUUCGCUCAAGACUAACUUAUGCGAAAGCAUUCACCAAGGACGUCCUCUUUAAUCAAGAACGAAAGUUGGGGGAUCGAAGACGAUCAGAUACCGUCGUAGUCUCAACCAUAAACUAUGUCGACUUGGGAUCGGCGGUAGUUUUUUCAUUAAGACACUGUCGGGACCACGGGAGAAAUCAAAGUGUCUGGACUCUGUGGGAAGUAUGGUCGCAAGGCUGAAACUUGAAGGAAUUGACGGAAGGGCACCACCAGGAGUGGAGCCUGCGGCUUAAUUUGACCCAACACGGGGAAACUUACCAGGUCCAGAGAUGUAGAGGAUUGACAGAUUGAAGCUCUUUCUUGAUCACUUCGGUGGUGGUGCAUGGCCGUUCUUAGUUGGUGGAGUGAUCUGUCUGGUUAAUUCCGUUAACGAACGAGACCUCAGCCUGCUAGUGUAGUCGGCUGGAUUGCU